ensembl:lncRNA
GCCACUUGUCUGUCUCCAUGCGCCCGUGCGUUGCUGCUCUCGCUCUCUCACUCUCUGCUGCCUGGGUCUCCUGUUAUCAAUCUAACCUCUCCUCCAUAUCUCCCUCUUUCUCUGCUGGGGCCCAGGGGGCUACCAGCCCACCUUUAGAGGCCAGACUGAUGGCUCUAUCAGCCGCAGAUGAGUCAGGCAAAAUGCUCCUCUGGUGAAUUCCAGAACGCCACACAGCAGAGUAGGGAAAGAAAAGAGAUGACUGAGUUAACGCGGUAAUAGGGUAAAGGAAUAGAUAUCAGGAAGAGGGAUGGAGAGGAACGAGGAGGAGAGGGAAUGGAAAAAAAGCAGUAAGGGAGUGAAGGGGAAAGGCAGAACAGAGAGUGAGAGAUAGCGUGAGAUUGAGAGGGAGAGAGAGUGAUGGUAAGAGAGAGAGCGGGAGGGAUGUGAGAGAGGGAGCCAAAGUGGGAGAGAGAGAUGGUGAGAGGGUGCAAACUGCAUUGCUCAUGUGGAUUCUAAUCAAUUGUGGACGUUAAGGGCUCAGCGACAGUCAGAGAGAUUGAAGAGACCAGGCUGGGCUGGAGCCCAUGCCCAUGCCCGCCACCUUGAGCCGGAGAAGUUUGCUGUGGCAAAAGCUUUUGCAAGCAUGGAGAACCUUGGAAUAACCUGCGGGUCCAACAGCUCGUGGUACACACAUGGUCCUGAAGCCAAAGGGGGCAGCGCCGCCUUGGGUACUACCGCCUUCUCAAUGACGCCACUACCCCUGACAAGUAUCUGGUCCCGCACAUACAGGACUGGGAUGGACAUAUUCUCCAAAGUGGAUUUGGAUCAGAUCUUCAAUCAUGGGCCUGUGCGCCCAGAAUACAUCCAUAAGAGAGCUGUUUUCAUCCCAUUUAGACUGUUCAAGUCCCUGCGCAUGCCUUUCAAGUUUAAAACACCGCCCAAGCUUUCCAGCGCCCAAUGGACUCCCUUUUUUCUUCAUCUAUUUUGGAUGAGAUCCUCAUUGCCAGCACCUCCAAGCCAUGUCCAAGGUCUCCGAGCCGUGGUCUGCCCGCCAGCAGCGGCACCUGGCCUUCAUAUCUGUGUCCACUUCAGACACCCAACAUGUAGCAGGGAGGUGCAACGUUGUGGCAGACUGCCUCUCCGGACCCAUCAU